rnacentral:rRNA from 1 species
AGAGUUUGAUCCUGGCUCAGGACGAACGCUGGCGGCGUGGAUUAGGCAUGCAAGUUGAGCGACGGAUAGCCUUCGGGCUAUUACGGAGCAGCGAACGGGUGAGUAACACGUGAAUAAUCUGUCCUCACGUUCCGGAUAAUUGGCCGAAAGGCCUUGUAAUACGGGCGAGGGUCUUUGAGGAGCAUUCCUUAAAGAAGGAAGGUGCGGGAUUUAUCCUGCGCCGCGCGAGGAGGAGUUCGCGGCCUAUCAGUUAGUUGGUGGGGUAACGGCCUACCAAGACGACGACGGGUAGCUGGUCUGAGAGGAUGGUCAGCCACAUUGGAACUGAGACACUGUCCAGACUCCUACGGGAGGCUGCAGUCGAGAAUCUUGGUCAAUGCACGAAAGUGUGAACCAGCGACGCCGCGUGGAGGAUGAAGGCGCUCUGCGUUGUAAACUCCUUUUAAGAGGAAAGAAGGAAGGGGCAACCCUUCUUGACGGUACCUCUUGAAUAAGCCACGGCUAACUACGUGCCAGCAGCCGCGGUAAUACGUAGGUGGCAAGCGUUGUCCGGAUUUACUGGGCGUAAAGCGUAUGCAGGCGGAUGCUUAAGUAGGAAGUGAAAGGUUGGAGCUCAACUCUAACACUGCUCCCUAUACUGGGUGUCUUGAGUGCCGGAGAGGAAGAUGGAACUGCACGUGUAGCGGUGAAAUGCGUUGAGAUGUGCAGGAACACCAAUGGCGAAAGCAUCUUCUGGACGGAUACUGACGCUGAGAUACGAAAGCCAAGGUAGCAAACAGGAUUAGAUACCCGUAGUCC